rnacentral:rRNA from 1 species
CGUGAGAAUCUGCCUAGAGGAUGGGGACAACCACGGGAAACUGUGGCUAAUACCCAAUGAGCGGAGACGUUAAAGAUUUAUCGCCUCUAGAGGAGCUCGCGUCUGAUUAGCUAGUUGGUGGGGUAAAAGCCUACCAAGGCGACGAUCAGUAGCUGGUCUGAGAGGACAACCAGCCACACUGGGACUGAGACACGGCCCAGACUCCUACGGGAGGCAGCAGUGGGGAAUUUUCCGCAAUGGGCGAAAGCCUGACGGAGCAAUACCGCGUGAGGGAGGAAGGCUCUUGGGUCGUAAACCUCUUUUCUCAGGGAAGAAGAAAGUGACGGUACCUGAGGAAUCAGCCUCGGCUAACUCCGUGCCAGCAGCCGCGGUAAUACGGAGGAGGCAAGCGUUAUCCGGAAUUAUUGGGCGUAAAGCGUCCGUAGGUGGCUCUUCAAGUCUGCUGUCAAAGAGUGGGGCUUAACUCCAGAAAGGCAGUGGAAACUGAAAGGCUAGAGAUCCGUAGGGGUAGAGGGAAUUCCCGGUGUAGCGGUGAAAUGCGUAGAGAUCGGGAAGAACAUCGGUGGCGAAAGCGCUCUACUGGACGGUAUCUGACACUGAGGGACGAAAGCUAGGGGAGCGAAUGGGAUUAGAUACCCCAGUAGUCCUAGCCGUA